ACCAGACUCCUACGGGAGGCAGCAGUGGGGGAUAUUGCACAAUGGGGGGAACCCUGAUGCAGCGACGCCGCGUGAGGGAAGACGGCCUUCGGGUUGUAAACCUCUGCCGCAGGGGACGAAGAAGAUGACGGUACCCUGUGAGGAAGCCACGGCUAACUACGUGCCAGCAGCCGCGUUAAUACGUAGGUGGCGAGCGUUGUCCGGAAUUACUGGGUGUAAAGGGAGCGUAGGCGGGAUAUUAAGUUGAAUGUAUAAACUGUCAGCUCAACUGAUAGAAGCGUUCAAAACUGAUAUUCUUGAGUGAAGUAGAGGCAGGCGGAAUUCCUAGUGUAGCGGUGAAAUGCGUAGAUAUUAGGAGGAACACCAGUGGCGAAGGCGGCUUACUGGACGGCAACUGACGCUGAGGCUCGAAAGCGUGGGGAGCAAACAGGAUUAGAUACCCGAGUAAAC
rnacentral:rRNA from 1 species